rnacentral:rRNA from 1 species
GACGAACGCUGGCGGCGUGCUUAACACAUGCAAGUCGAACGGUAAGGCCCUUCGGGGUACACGAGUGGCGAACGGGUGAGUAACACGUGGGUGAUCUGCCCUGCACUUCGGGAUAAGCCUGGGAAACUGGGUCUAAUACCGGAUAGGACUCCUGGCUUCAUGGUUGGGGGUGGACAGCUUUUGCGGUGUGGGAGGGGCCCGCGGCCUAUCAGCUUGUUGGUGGGGUAAUGGCCUACCAGGGCGACGACGGGUUGCCGGCCUGAGAGUGGUGACCGGUCACACUGGGACUGAGAUACGGCCCAGACUCCUACGGGAGGCAGCAGUGGGGAAUAUUGCACAAUGGGCGCAAGCCUGAUGCAGCGACGCCGCGUGAGGGAUGACGGCCUUCGGGUUGUAAACCUCUUUCAGCUAUGACGAAGCGCAAGUGACGGUAGUAGCAGAAGAAGGACCGGCCAACUACGUGCCAGCCGCCGCCGUAA